rnacentral:rRNA from 1 species
CCUACGGGAGGCAGCAGUGAGGAAUAUUGGACAAUGGAUGGAAAUCUGAUCCAGCCAUGCCGCGUGCAGGAAGACGGCCCUAUGGGUUGUAAACUGCUUUUAUACGGGAGCAAUAAGGUCUAUGCAUAGAUUGAUGAGAGUACCGUAUGAAUAUGCAUCGGCUAACUCCGUGCCAGCAGCCGCGGUAAU